AUGAUGAGGUUCGCUGACAAGCUGUACAGUGCAAGGACUCGCAUAUGCACUUGCUGUACAACACGUGCACAUGCAGUCCCCCCCCCCAGAGCUACGUCUGCUACAAAAGAUGGUGGUGUUACUACUCCAGCAACAACUCCUUUUGUGGGCUGCCGCCUGGAGUUAUCGCCAUGUGAAGGGAUUACUUCCACAAGCAAGCGAGCAAAAACUGUGCGUAUCCAUCAAUGCCCAUCUGAACCGAGGAUGGAGUCCGCACUCAGGCACGUCCCGCGAACUCUCAAUUUGUUUGCAAAGCAGAACCUAAAUGGAAUUAGUGAACUAUAUAUCGACCUCCCGAACGAUGCUACAACUGCCAUUUUCGGCCAGAGGAGCAAUGAUCUUCCCGGAUGCAAGUAUGUGUCUCGUCCUGGAUUCCAGACAAACCCCUGGUGUAGAGGAGUUGUCACGUGCCCUCCACAACCUGGUGUAGCUCACCUAAUUCAACAACACUUGUUGAACGCUGAUGGAACCGAGCUAGCAGGGAACUUUAUUGUUCACGAGGAACCAAGAUUUAUCAAGAUCACCGUCUUUGUCAUACCCGAUCAGCUCGCUGGCAACAACAUAAUUGGUCAUGAAUUGAUGUCAAUUCUUUUUCGGCGGUUUGCUCAGAUCGAUUGUGAUGCCGAAACCGAGAACCCAUUCUUAAGAUGGACGCACCCACUUGAGCCUGAACUCUCAACUAUGGUGUUGUCGGAUUCUGACUUCUUGCACACAGUGUCGAUACAGAAGCAGCUUUCUGUGGAUUCUCUGAAGUAUGAUCUAACAUCCACCCAAAUGCUAAGAGUAAUUAAUCUCCUUGAUCCGCUCUACCAAACAAAUGCACUAGCUCCUCCGCAUAUAGACCAAGACGAAGCAGCAGCCUGGAAGCUCCACAGUGCAUUAUUUGCAUGCCUCCAUGAAUUCUAUGCUGGGUGGCCAUCAGUCAAGGAGAACUGGCGAAUGAAGCAUGAACCUAUGACAUAUGUCACAUUUUCACUCGCUGAAUCUGGUGUUUGCGCCAUACACAUUGUUUGA
rnacentral:rRNA from 1 species